UAUUUAAAUGUGGAGCUAAAUUAAGCAAUGUUGACGAAUGUAUCAUAAAUUCCUUUUAUGCUCGUUCAUUGAAGAGGAAAGCAAUAACAACUGCGGCGCACAAGAAAGGGUCGACAUGAGACGGACGUGAAAAGUUUUGCAGUAUGCUUCUGAUCUAGCAUCUCAAAACGAAUCAGAACAUUGUUUCUAAUAUUUGCAAACGACAUAUAUAUGUAUGUGAUAUCGUUGUAUGUAGAAUUAGACCGAAGUUCCGAGUUUUCAAAGCGGGUUUUCAUUCUGUCAUGGGAAAAAUUUGUAUAGGCGUGCAUAUAUAACGGCGAUGCUGCGCUUAGCCAUGGCUUUAGAGUUGUUGGCUUCACAAGGUUAUCAAUGGCUGGCUUGCAGCGACUGUAUCGUAAGUGAUGCCCAAAGCUAUACACUCUUGCAUCAGAGGUAUGACAGGAAUUGGAAACAAAAUUUUUUGUGUAGGGAAUCCGAUGGACCGUAAACGCGGAUACGAACGUCUGCUUUUAGCAGGAUCAUAAUUGGAUGUGUUGACGGAACGUAUAUAUGCUUUUAAAGCCAGCGGAAAAUGAAGUAAUUUUCAUAAAUCGAAAAGGAAAGCCUAAACGGAAUGGUAAUUUGCGCAGUCAGUUUCAAAUUUCCCGAAUCUUACCAUGAUUCACAUGUGUAGAGGUAUGCCGGUGAAAGAGUUUAUCU